GCUGAUGAGAUCUGAGUGCAGACAGACGCCUCUCAGGGACCAGCGAUCUGGCCAGCAUGACCCUGCGCUAGGCUCUCUUUGGAUCCAAGCCGGACACAGCAAACUUUACCACCAAACCUUCCCUGUGACAAAGCCAUCGGGUCGAAGAGCUGGAUGGGGACGUCUAGCUCUGAGAAACACACAAAGCCGCAUGGCCUAAGAACGGGAGCAGAGCGCUUCGGAGAAAAGGGCUUUAACCCCACCCCGUGCACGGCUGUCACACCUGGCGCCCAACGUCCUCCUGCUGGGGUUCAGGGAGGCCAAAGUUUUCCAGGCCCGCUCGGCAGGCACCGACCCCACUCCACAGGGACCAGUUCGCUUCCAGGGGAACCAGCCUGACAGGCCCAGUGAAUCAAGGUGAAGGCCUGUGCGUUGUUCUCCAGCGGCUGAGUGGUGUGGGUAGGAUCCACCGCCCACCCCUUCCUGGGUGUGUCUCCUGCCAGCACUGCUCCGCGGGGAGCCUGGUUCACACACAAUAUUCACAUGUCCUCCCUGGCAGCUCCAAGCCCAUCCCCACGUGCCUACAGGCCGGGCCCCUACUUGGAGCUCGGCCCUGGUGCAAAUCAGAGCGAAGCCAAGCCUGGGGGCUGGUUGGUUCCUACACCCCACACUGCAAAACUGCCCUGGGGCGUCGGCAAAACCUUGCUGCGGAGAGACCAGGACGCGUCCCUGGGAGAAGGUUUCACCGGGACUUUGCUCAGCACCCGGGGAGGGGAAGCCAGCGGCCACUGGGAGCCCAGACUGGUAG